rnacentral:lncRNA from 1 species
CAUCAGCUCUUCCUGGCCAAGAAAGAGAAGAGCUUUUUAAGUUUGGAAAACUCCAACUGGUAUGUCAUUGAAGAGCCGCUUGUCUUAUUUCUGCAUUUUCUCCCUCAGGGCUGAGGAGUGUUCUCAAAAGUCUUGGAGUGCACCCUGUGUCAGCUUCCGUGCCAGGGCUCAGGAAACAGUUUCAGGCUUGUAGUCUGUGAGCCCCAGGCAGGCAGACCCUUACGUGGAAGGGAAUGGGGUGAUCGGUCAGAAGGACCUUGGCGCCUUCUUUCCUUGUCUCUCCUUUUUGGCUCCUCUGUAUUUCUCAGAAAUAAAAUGCUCUUGUAAAAUUGAUUUGAACUGUGUCCUUUUUAACAGUGUCCACUGUGGAGUGGUCUUUGGCUCUGUUGGGUGUGUUGUUCUCAGCUCCAUGUGAAAGGAUAGAAGGGAAUAGAAUUCCCCAAGGCAAAGCCCUCUUUCCUGGAUGCCCCCUGCACCACCUCAGUCUCCUUUGGAUUUAGCUGUGAUUCUGCUGAGCCUGGGAAAGCCAGCCCUGGGAACCCU